UACAGGUUUGGUCCCAGCCUUUCUGUUAACUUUUAGUAAACUUACACAUGCAAGUAUCCACGUCCCAGUGAGAAUGCCCUUCAAGUCAACAAGACCAAAAGGAGCGGGUAUCAAGCACACACUUGUAGCUCAUGACGCCUUGCUUAACCACACCCCCACGGGAAACAGCAGUGACAAAAAUUAAGCCAUAAACGAAAGUUUGACUAAGUUAUACUAAUUAGGGUUGGUAAAUUUCGUGCCAGCCACCGCGGUCAUACGAUUAACCCAAGCUAACAGAAAUACGGCGUAAAAUGUGUUUAAGCAAUAUAUCAAAAUAGAGUUAAAUCAAAAUUAAACUGUAAAAAGUCCUAAUUUUAAUUAAAAUAAACGACGAAGGUAACUCUAAAACAGCUGAUACACUAUAGCUAAGAUCCAAACUGGGAUUAGAUACCCCACUAUGCUUAGCCCUAAACACAAAUAAUUAUACAAACAAAGUUAUUCGCCAGAGUACUACCGGCAACAGCCUAAAACUCAAAGGACUUGGCGGUGCUUUAUAUCCUUCUAGAGGAGCCUGUUCUAUAAUCGAUAAACCCCGAUAAACCUCACCAAUCCUUGCUAAUACAGUCUAUAUACCGCCAUCUUCAGCAAACCCUAAAAAGGAACAAAAGUAAGCACAAUCAUACGAUAUAAAAACGUUAGGUCAAGGUGUAACCUAUGGACUGGGAAGAAAUGGGCUACAUUUUCUACCUUAAGAAAACAAAUACGAAAGUUACUAUGAAACUAGUAACUAAAGGAGGAUUUAGUAGUAAACUAAGAAUAGAGUGCUUAGUUGAAUUAGGCCAUGAAGCACGCACACACCGCCCGUCACCCUCCUCAAGUAACUAGAUGCACUCAAACUUAUUUAGACGCAUUAAUCACAUUAGAGGAGAUAAGUCGUAACAAGGUAAGCAUACUGGAAAGUGUGCUUGGACGAAC
rnacentral:ncRNA from 1 species